UGGAUAUCUGCCUUUUGGUUCGGAAUAACCCCGGGAAACUGGGGCUAAUACCGGAUGGUUCCUUCGGGAUAAAGAUUUAUCGCCAAAAGAUGAGUCCGCGUCCGAUUAGCUAGUUGGUGAGGUAAUGGCUCACCAAGGCGACGAUCGGUAGCCGGUCUGAGAGGACGAUCAGCCACACUGGGACUGAGACACGGCCCAGACUCCUACGGGAGGCAG
rnacentral:rRNA from 1 species